rnacentral:tRNA from 1 species
GGAGGGGCUGUCUCAGUGGCAGAACGUCUAAUUGACAUACAGAAGGUCCCAGGUUCAAUCCCUGGCAUCUCCA